rnacentral:lncRNA from 1 species
GGGAAGAGAAGUUCUUUUUCUGUUGGGCUGCUGAGGGGCGAUGAGGCCAGCCUGGGAGUGGUGGUGGAGAGGCCCCCUGAGCAGGACAGCAGCACAGAGGGCAGGAAGCCAAGCCAAGAGGCUGGGAGGGACGAUCCCUGCUGAUGGCGUCGAGCACCCAGGCUGUCAGCUGGAUGAGAAUGGAGAGCUCUGCCUGCUUCUCCUGCUGUGCUGUGCCCGGUGUCCAGAGCCAGCCGGCAGCCGCAGGGCAUCAGUGACGUGCGCUGGGCCAGUGAACACUGCAGACCACACAGGAGCAUACUUCCAGGAGUGCUAAGCGCCGUUGGCUCCUUCACUGUCCAUGGAGCCCAGCUCUGUGCCCGGCCCUGACUUGCGCUGUAGGCACGAUGGCCAUGAAGGAGACAAACUCUGCCGCCCCCUGGAGCCGUCGUCACAGAGGGACAAACAGUGAGCAGAGCACAGCAGCCCACUGUGCACGUGCAGCCAGAGGCGUCUUCUCCAAUGGAGGCCGAGGACGUCGCUCCCUGGUCCUGAUCCCCUGCUCCUUAGAACCUGACCCAGGGCCCUUGCUGUGGAACUGAGCUUGGACUAAUGAGGCAGCUCAGAGGUAGCCGCUGGCCAGCCAGCCAGGGCCCAAGCUCACAGAAGAGGAGAAAGCCUCAUCAGCAGAGCAUUCCACUGUCACAGCUGACUGCUUUCCAGGCCUGAGCUGGAGGAUAUCUAAGCCAGCUGCCCUGCCUGUGAGCAGCCCUAUGGAGAGGCCCACGUGGUGAGGACCCGACGCCUCCUGCCACCAGUCGCACAUGGGAGCAGAGACAUAGAUUUCCAGCCUGGGACGAUGCAGCGCCUGCCGACAUCCUGACUGACCCCUCGAGAGCCCUGAGUCAGAGCCACCCAGCUGUGCUGCCCUUGGGCUCCUGACCCACAGAGACCAAAACAAUAAACAUUGGCUGCUGUGGGGGCUCAGUCUCGGGGUUGUUCGUCCCCCAGCAGGAGACAGACCUCUCCUCAGAGACUGUCCACUGUCCCCUGCGUGGCAGCCUUCACUCAGGGCCCCUGAAGCCG